rnacentral:misc_RNA from 1 species
AUGUCUUUUCCAAGUAAAGAAGAUCGUACAAAAUGUUGGAAUCAUAGAGAUGAAUAUUGGAAGUGUCUUGAUGAUGGUAAAACAGAAAUAGAUUGUAAGAAAUUUAGAGAUCAGUAUGAAAAAUUCUGUCCUGCAUUAUGGGACAUGCAGCCUUGAUGGAAACAAAACAGAUGCAACUGCACAAACUUCAAAAGCAGUUUUUAAUUUUCAAACAACAAAUACAAAUUCAUAUGAAUAGGGAACAAAUAUAAAUGUAUAUAUAUAAUAUGUACAAUUAUUAAAUUGAAUCUUCUUUUUCUGAAUUAUAUAUAACAAUAACAAAAUGUGUACAAAAAAUAUGGAAUUGAAUUAUGUAAUCAAAGAAUUGAAAACAUGUACAGAAGAUACCACUAUUUUCAGAAAAUUGAUAAACUUUACUUCAUCAUGCACAAAAUCCUGGGAUGAUGAAUAUUUGAAACAAUGGCAACCAGUCCUUAUAUAUAUCAUAGAAAUUUUUAUUCCAAAUAUAGAAACAAAAAGAGAAAAAAUUCUAUUGGCUUCUCACACAUUUUUUGCUUUAUUAUCAAUGCAAUCUUCUUUGGUUCUUUUAAAAGAAAUUUUUAUAAAUCUUUUAGAUUCUAAACAUAAUGAAGUACAUAUUUUCGGUAAAAAAUAUGAUAUCACUGAAUUAGAACUGUUUAAAUUGAUUUGCGCUUAUGGAUAUUUACAAGUUAAUCGUAACGAAAUAUAUUUUGAUGAUAUUUGUUUACUUAUUUUUAAUCUUAUAUUCGAACAUUGUAUAAAAUAUACUAAACAUUCUUAUUUUGCAUAUAAAAUAUUAUAUAUGUGCUUGCAAAGAACCAUGAAUACAAAUUUUUGGAGUACAUAUUCAGAAUUAGAGCAAAAACUUGAAACAAUUAUUUUUUCAAAUUGGUGUAAUGCUAUUAAUGAUAUAAGUAAGCAAAAUUCAAUGCUUAUUUUUAAUAUGUAUCUGAAAAUUAUGGAAAAAAAGUAUAAUGGAUAUUUGGAAUAUUUGUUUAAACAUUGUGUUAAUACAAUUUCUUGGCAAAAUGAAUUAAAGUAUGAUAUACUUGCAGAAAUAUGCGAAGUUUGUAAUCAAACUAAAAUUAUUACAUCUCAUGACUUUUUACUUUCUUUAUGUACUAGUCUAACGAAAUAUUAUUUGCGUUCAGCGGGUACAAAAGUUUAUAUUGCUAUUGUAAAAAAAUUAAACGAAAAUGAAUGGAAAGAAGCAUUUGGACAUAUAAUAAACUAUCUCUUUCAUCAUUGGGAAUCAUCAGAGAAUCAAAAUCAUAAUGCUCUUCAGUUACUUUGUAAGCAUUGGCUUGAACCAAUUAUUAAAAAGUACAGAAAUCUUUUACCUUAUUUAUGGAAUUUUAUCAUAGAUAUAAAAGAACAUUUUUUACGUUCACAUCUUCAAAAAAUAGCUUGUGAAAUGCAUAUUGAUCUUCCAGAACAAGCAGGCAUUGAAUGUUAUAUAAAUCAUAAUAAUGAAAUUGUAAGAUUGAAUGGAUUUGCCAUAAAUUGUUAUGAAAUAAUUAAAUUAUAUAAGGAAAAUAAAGAUCAAUUUUUUAUAACAAGAAAUUUUCUAUGGCUUAAUGCAAAUAGCACAACAAUUUACAUGAGAAAUGGAAUUGUAAAAUAUUUUAAAAUAUUUUACAUUAAUAUUUUAAAAAUGUGUGAUAAUAAUCCAGAUUCUAUAUAUGAUAUAUAUUAUAUCACAAAUUGGUUGCACGAAUUUUUUUUUAGAUUGUUUUGAAAUUGGUUCUUGUUAUCAAAGAAAAAUUCUUGGUUUAAACUUAUAUAAAGCCAUACUUUCAUUUACUGAUGAAUAUAUUAUAAAUAAGUCUAAGAAUGUAGAAAAUAUUUCAUGUAUGUUAUUUCUGAAAAAAAAUUUAAUAACAACUGAAAAUUGGAAAUUUACAAAUAGAAAAAGUUUAUUUAUUUUAUUAAAACUUGUACUAGACUCUACACUUGAUGUUAAACAAUUAUCUACUUCUAUUAUUCUUAAUUAUUUCGAUAAAAAUAUUUUAUCUGAUACAGAAAAAGAGAUAUUAUUUCAUACGGCAUUAAAACAUUGCAAUUCUCCUAAAUUCUAUGAAAUUGAAAGUGGUGCAGCUCUUAUAUCAAUUUUAAUAAUGUGGUUGCCUCUGAAUUUUUUACAUAAUGAUUGUAAUAAUUAUUUAAAAUAC